rnacentral:rRNA from 1 species
CCUACGGGUGGCAGCAGUGGGGAAUAUUGGGCAAUGGGCGCAAGCCUGACCCAGCAACGCCGCGUGAAGGAAGAAGGCUUUCGGGUUGUAAACUUCUUUUCUCAGGGACGAAGAAAGUGACGGUACCGGAGGAAUAAGCCACGGCUAACUACGUGCCCGCAGCCGCGGUAAUACGUAGGGGGCAAGCGUUAUCCGGAUUUAUUGGGUGUAAAGGGAGAUUAGGCGGGUGGGCAAGUCAGAUGUGAAAACUCAGGGCUCAACCCUGGGCCUGCAUUUGAAACUGUGUUUCUUGAGUGCUGGAGAGGCAAUCGGAAUUCGGUGUGUAGCGGUGAAAUGCGGAGAUAUACGGAGGAACAACAGUGGCGAAGGCGGAUUGCUGGACAGUAACUGACGCUGAGGCGCGAAAGCGUGGGGAGCAAACAGGAUGAGAUACACUAGUAGUC